rnacentral:rRNA from 1 species
UACGUAGGGUGCAGGCGUUAAUCGGAAUUACUGGGCGUAAAGCGGGCGCAGGCGGUUUGCUAAGAGAGAUGUGAAAUCCCCGGGCUUAACCUGGGAACUGCGUUUCUAACUGGCAGGCUUGAGUGUGGCAGAGGGGGGUGGAAUUCCACGUGUAGCAGUGAAAUGCGUAGAGAUGUGGAGGAACACCGAUGGCGAAGGCAGCCCCCUGGGCUAACACUGACGCUCAUGCACGAAAGCGUGGGGAGCAAACAGG